UCUUUGUUAGUAUAUCGGUUAGUACACGCGCCUGUCAUUAAUCAAAUGUCCGCGCGAAAGCUGGGUUCGACUCCCAGACAGAGAG